GUGGGGAAUAUUGGACAAUGGGCGCAAGCCUGAUCCAGCCAUGCCGCGUGAGUGAUGAAGGCCUUAGGGUUGUAAAGCUCUUUUGUCCGGGACGAUAAUGACGGUACCGGAAGAAUAAGCCCCGGCUAACUUCGUGCCAGCAGCCGCGGUAAUACGAAGGGGGCUAGCGUUGCUCGGAAUCACUGGGCGUAAAGGGCGCGUAGGCGGCCUUGUAAGUUGGGGGUGAAAGCCCGUGGCUCAACCACGGAAUUGCCUUCGAUACUGCUCAGCUUGAGUGUGGUAGAGGUUGGUGGAACUGCGAGUGUAGAGGUGAAAUUCGUAGAUAUUCGCAAGAACACCGGUGGCGAAGGCGGCCAACUGGACCAUCACUGACGCUGAGGCGCGAAAGCGUGGGGAGCAA
rnacentral:rRNA from 1 species